CUGCAGCAAUAGGGUUAUGUUUGGAGAACAUGUCAAAAGAAGAAUUAGAAAUGAAUAGAGAUGUAUUAAAUUAUAUUCUUCAAGGAGUAAGCUGUAGGUUAGAGAGCCCAAUUGAUUUAGUCCGGAAGAUGGCAAGUGCUGUUGCAUUGACAUUUUCUAAAGUCGUUGAUCC